UACGUAGGGUGCAAGCGUUAAUCGGAAUUACUGGGCGUAAAGCGUGCGCAGGCGGUUUGUAAGUCUGUCGUGAAAUCCGGGCUCAACCUGGGAAUUGCGAUGGAGACUGCAAGGCUAGAAUCUGGCAGAGGGGGGGGGGUAGAAUUCCACGUGUAGCAGUGAAAUGCGUAGAGAUGUGGAGGAACACCGAUGGCGAAGGCAGCCCUGGGUCAAGAUUGGACGC
rnacentral:rRNA from 1 species